GCGGGGGUAGCUCAGUCGGUAGAGCGCGGCCAUGCCACGGCCGAGGUCGCGGGUUCGAGUCCCGCCCACCGCU
rnacentral:tRNA from 1 species